AUUGAACGCUGGCGGCAUGCCUUACACAUGCAAGUCGAACGGCAGCGCGGGGCAACCUGGCGGCGAGUGGCGAACGGGUGAGUAAUAUAUCGGAACGUGCCCUGGAGUGGGGAUAACGUAGCGAAAGUUACGCUAAUACCGCAUACGAUCCAAGGAUGAAAGCAGGGGACCUUCGGGCCUUGUGCUCCUGGAGCGGCCGAUAUCUGAUUAGCUAGUUGGUGGGGUAAAAGCCUACCAAGGCGACGAUCAGUAGCUGGUCUGAGAGGACGACCAGCCACACUGGAACUGAGACACGGUCCAGACUCCUACGGGAGGCAGCAGUGGGGAAUUUUGGACAAUGGGGGCAACCCUGAUCCAGCAAUGCCGCGUGUGUGAAGAAGGCCUCGGUUGUAAGCACUUAAGUCGGGGAGGAAGGGCGUUACGGUUAA
rnacentral:rRNA from 1 species